rnacentral:rRNA from 1 species
UACGUAGGGGGCAAGCGUUGUCCGGAUUUAUUGGGCGUAAAGAGCGUGUAGGCGGCUAGGUAGGUCCGUUGUGAAAACUCGAGGCUCAACCUCGAGACGUCGAUGGAAACCAUCUAGCUAGAGUCCGGAAGAGGAGAGUGGAAUUCCUGGUGUAGCGGUGAAAUGCGCAGAUAUCAGGAAGAACACCCGUGGCGAAGGCGGCUCUCUGGAACGGUACUGACGCUGAGACGCGAAAGCGUGGGGAGCGAACAGG